rnacentral:lncRNA from 1 species
AUCGUAAUAGCAGCAACCCCUUCUCCUUCACUCGUCCAUUUCCAUUCCCAUUGACCAUUUUCUUUCCUUUGAAAUUCGUCGAAAUAACAGAUUGGGACACACGCUUUUGCCAUAUCUGCAUUACGAAUUAAAAAUAUCAGAAUAAAUUAUCAAAAAAAAAUUAUCAGAAAAAAAUUAUCAGAAUCGAGGGGCGGGGGAGUCUGCAAACGGAAUCGUCGUUAAAUCCGUCGUUCCGACGUCUGAUCGGUGCCGGCCUGAACUUUGACUCUAAUAUUAUUUUUUCUACCAUUUAAAAAAAAUAUACGAUUUCAAUAAAAAUAAAAUUAAAUACUACGAAAAGAUACUUACCGAAUUGAAGUGCUGAAAUUUAACUAUAUUUUUCUGUUGAGGUUGAUAACUGAUAAGUUUAUGAAAUUUUGAGGUUGAAGUGGAUGAAAAAUGGAAGAGUUUUUAUCGUGUUAGAGUAAAC